CAUGUUUUUCCUCUUUCCUUCAAGAACCAGUACAAUAGCAAAGACCCAUUUCAACACCUACAACUCUCCUCAACCUGAACUUUGAUCUGAAUCGCGACAACAACAUCAUGAACCAUUGAUCCAUGUCCAACGAUGAUACCUGACCCCAUCCCAUUCCUUUUUCACUGUUGUCACGCGUUUCGCGCAUUCGUAGGACAGGAAACUCCUUGAACGCUCUAGAACAAGCCAAGGUAUCUCUCCCAACGGCUCAAAUCCACAAAUUUUGGGAUAACUCAUACGGAUUCAUACAUAUUUGGUAAAUUUUCAUUGGUUUUUGGGUACAUUUUUGUCUUUCCCACAUUUGAUUGGUCCACUGGUUUCGGAUUUGUGGAAAGAAAAUCCAAAUUGGUUACGACCCAGGGAGGCUAGGGGUUUUAAAUUUCAAAUUCCCUCUGAAAAUCCCUAAAAUCUCCCCCAAUUCCCGUCUUCUAUAUAAGAACGGAUUAGGUCACAUUUUGAGAGGUUGGGGAGAGAGGUCGAGGAAGUUGGGGUUCAAAAAUUAGGGUUCAAAAAGGGGUUUCUUUGGAUUAGGAGAUUUUCUGAGCUAGUUAGGUCAAAAACCAAAAGAGUGCAAAAACUUUCUUUGAUUGAGAAGAAGAGCAGGAGGAAAGCAGAGAAAAGGGUUUGGGGAAGCGGGGGAUUCUUAGCUCUUUAUAGAUAAUUUUCCUUCUUGUUUCGAAAUUGGGGUAUGUGGAAAAUGGUGGUUUCAAACCUUUCUCUGAGAAAUUUAGGAGUUUGAAAAUUGAGGGUAAGAAUAGAAGAAGGAAAGAAUUUUUUGAUUAAAGAUUCAAUCUGUGCCUAUUAGGAAUUCUGUUCCCAAAAAAUUGGUUUGCCAAUAAAGUUCUGAAGCCAAUUACGAUACUUUUUCGGUGGUAGCAAAUCCAGAAUAAGCUCGAGUUUCGUUUUGCUGCUCCCUUGAGGGUAAUACCCUUUUCCAUUUAAGAUUUAUCUGUUUCUACUUCAUCUUGAUCUUCUAUAGUCGUGAAUAAAUUUUUUAGUAUGAUUGUAUGCUGGGUUAUUUGCUGGUAGAUGGCUUUGAUAGCCGUAGGUAGUUGUUUUGGUAGAUUUUUUAUUUAAUACUCUUAUUUUUUUGUGAAAUUCUUAAGGUUUGUAUAGCUGACUUUAUGUUAAAGUUUCAUGUUCUGCGAUUCUGUUUGAGUUGCUGGUAUUUUGUUAAGGCUGGUUUUGUUAUUUAAAGUUUCAUGCUUUUGAUUUUGGUUUGAGUUACUGGUAUCCUGUUAAGGCUAGUUUCGUGGCUAAAGUUUGAUUCUGUUUGGUCAUUUCAGACUGCUGGUAUGUUAUCAUGGUUGGCUUCAGGGUUUAAAGUUGCGUACUUUGAUCGUUUUGGGUCGAUGGCGCCCUAUUCUAGCUCAUCUUAUUUUAAAGUUUCGGGUUUUAUUCUUAUUUUGAUAGUUUUUAGGUCGAGGGUGUUUUGUUCAUUGUUGGUAUUUAACGCCAUCUUAUUUGUUGAGACUUCCCCAUGAGUUCUUUGGCUUCCCAAAUGACAAAAAAUGACGAGGAUACGCUCGACACAAACUGACAAAUCCCAUGAUCCCUCGAUGACCAUUUUGGCUAUUAGAACUCGUUUGAGUUUGACAAAAGAGAAUGAGGAUGAUAGUAGUGCCCCGCCACUUUCCUUUUAGCUUUAUCUGCCAUGUCUUUUUUUGUUUGGAUUCGAAUCUUUUAUCUUUCCUUGUCUCUUGAGCUUGUUGCCAAUACAUGAUCGGGUUAGGGAGAUGAAUGCAAUAAUGGGGUAUUUUAGUAUGUUUAUUUAGAAGGAAUGGCCUUAUUUUGUUCUCCUCAUAGAAAUGGAGCAUCACUGUUGUAUGUCUCUUUGAAUACCUACUAUCAAUGGAACUUGGAUUUAUAGGUCAAUUUCACUUCUUUUAUGUGUUUCAAUCAGUCUCUUGACUAGAUAUGGGGUUACGUUUAGGUAUGAAGUUCUCAAAACAGCUUGCAAACAGUUUUCUCCUGUCCCAUACAAUAUGAGAGUAUCAUAGAGUGUGGUAUAGAUUGGUUUAUUUGAAGCACAUGACUGCAUUUCGAUUUUAGUGUUAGAAAUUAAUAGUGUUCUUGAUUUAAGUGAGACCCUCUUUGCUUUUGUUGAUUGGAUUGUCCUGUAUACUGUACAACAUACAAGAAAAGAGGUGAAACGAACUUAUCUUGGUUCAUCCAUAGCAUAAAUUUAAGUAUCUAUUUUUGGGAAUUAUCUUCAGCUCUUCAUUUUUGUAUUCCAGUUGAGUGUUUUGAUAGCCAACUGAUAAAAUUUUCUUAGUUUCUGUGUAUUCCUUCUCAUAAGUAAGCACCGGAACCUAUCGUUUUGUCAAAAGGAAUGGACUGCGAUUUACUAUUAAUGUACGGUCCUUUAACAAAUGUUAUAGCAUCCCUCUACUGCAACAAACAAAACCAACAUUACGUCAUAUGCUCUCAUCCAAUGGUCAUUACAUGCGAUUAGAAAAAGUGACUGUUUACUAGAAUUCUUUCAUGCAUAUGCAUACUUUCAUGCCAAAGUCCAGCAUAAUAUGGCGUGUUCUCUUUGAUCUUUAUGUUAAAUGUUCAAAACCAAUUAAACACAGUUGCAUGUCGUAUAUAUCACUAAUCUAGUAGCUAAGUUUCCUUUUAUGUAUCGAAGUAGUGAUUUUUUUUAAUAGCUUUGAACUUUCUGAAUUUUUUUGUUAUAAAAGUAAUUCAUUUUUAUGAACGCGUAUUAAUUCAUAUAUCUUUUCUUUGCAUGCACCCUCCUUGGAGUCCAAAUGGGCUUCUUCUCUCUUUGUAUUUCAUAAAUAG
rnacentral:lncRNA from 1 species